GAAAGAACCAUUUAAAUGUCUGGCCUGGAAGUCCUGGGAGAAGGGACCAGCUCGCUGUGCUGGAGGCACCCAGGCAGGUCAGAAUGAAUCAGAAUGAAUCCCUCCUUGGGUACCUGCAGUCCAGUGUUUGCCAGAGGAAGGGGUGUGAGCAGGCCAGGGAUGUCCUCCUGCAUGUGGACAGGCAGGCCGUGUGCAGGUGCUGUUCAGGAUGUCAGCACGGGGCCUCUCAAGGAGACGCGUCUUUGCCACCCCCCUCCCAGGGCCCACCAGGAAGACAAAGAAAUGACAUGUAUGAGCACCUGCUGUCCACAGGCCAAUUCUCAGCCGGCAAAGAGUCCUCAGCCCGCGAGGAUGCGACAGGCCUGGACCAAACGUCAGGCGAGGUCUGCAUGGCCCGGCGCUUCAGAAACGCCGCGGGUUUCAAUCCUAAGGGGCGCCCGCCCCCGCCGCUCCGUGGAGCCAUAGUCCCGAGUAGCUUCGUGGUCUCAGAGAAGCCAUCGGGGCUGGCGGCCGGUGUCUGCUUUUCUGCACAUCAAGGAGACGAUCAGACCCUUCCGGAAAGUGGCCGGUUUUGUCCAGGGGCGUGUAAGGCUGCCUGGGAUCUGUCCUCCGUCCUUCACUCUCCCAUUAACCCAGUGUGGGGGGGGGACGGGGCCCCUUCCCUGACUUUUUUUUUUCACUUUAGCCUCCUCUUCUGCAUUGUUUUGUUUUGUCUUUUUUUUUUUUUUAAGCCUCUGUGCCCGGCUCCCAUUAUGGAAAGUGCUGUUUAUGUCCAGGGCCCCUUAAAAAGGCAGCUAACGGCUCCCUGGCUGCGGUCCUCCUGCUUGUUUCCCUGGCAACCGGAGGCAGGGAAAACAGAACCUGUCAGAUGGANGGAGGGGGGAGGGGGGAGCGGGAGGGGACCUCGGGGCCCACCCUGCCGCCACCCAGGCUGGCGCCCUGGCCCAGGCCAGCUAGUGGGCAGAGAGGCAGGCUGCUUAAGGGAGGGAGCUGCCCGCCCCAGCAGGGACCCUGGAGCAGUGGGGAGGAGCGGGUCCCCCCCAACAGGAUUAGCAGGAUGGUGCUGGAGCUGCCACCCCCUGCCCUGCCCAGCUGAUUAUCACAUUGUUUCAGAGGGAUCAGUAAAGCGCGUGAUACAAAAUCCUGGGUGUUUAUCUCAUGAGGACGGCACCCAACUUCCACAGAAGUUUGAGUUCCUCUCCAAGAGGCAUUUUUUCGAGGCCGAGUCGUAGGUACUUAGCUGGCUUUGACCUGCUGCUGUGGAGUCACCCCUGUGCCCUGGGCCGUCCAGACAGCCAGCGAGAGGUCAGCAGGAGGCCGGUGGGCAGCGCGAUGCUGCUCUGGCCCAGGACGUCGUUGGCGGAUACGGCCUCUGCCUCCAGGAUUUAUCGGGGGCUUGCCUACGCCCUUCUCUCAUCUGGAGAUCAGAGCCAGCAUCUGGGAGACACACGGUGCCCCCAGGGUGGUCUCCCUUGACCUCCACGUUGAAUCUGACAUGGAGCCUGACCAGUUACAUCUUUUAAAUAUUUCUUGGAUCUCCGCUUCUUUUCCGUUCCUAACACCAGGAUCCAAGUUCAGCCACCGAACUUUGUCCCUUUGGUGUUAAUUCAACUCCAAGCCCUGGCUGGCAGGACAGUUGAUGGAGAAUCUGAAUCUGGCCUCAUCUGCCCCAGCUCAGAGCCCUUUGAGGAUGCUCCAUUGUCUCCAGGGAAAAGCUGGGUUGCUGGGUGUGGCAUUCAAGGUCCCCCCGCCUGUCUGUCCUAACCCCAUCAACCCUUCCAGCUUUGUCUCCUGUUACUCCCUGCCUUUUAUGGGUCCACGGAAGCCAAACUGCCCUGGGGCCUCUGGCUGCCCACCGCAUACUUCCCAUUGUUAAAUUUGCCCCGUGCCUCAGAGCCUUGCUUGGCCCGGAAUGUCCUUCCCACCUCUACUAUCUUGUGUACCUGUAAUUUGUCCUUUCAGACAGCCGAGGCAUCAUCGGCUCCUCCAUCUCCUCCGUGUGCAUUUCCAAAUCCUCAGGUUGGGCUUGAUGCCCCCAGGUCGCUCAUGGGCAUCCUGUUGCUUGCCCAUGUGUGUGGAACAACCAGUUAAUAGGCCUACUGAGGGCUGGCAUGCCCAUCUCUGAGCCCUCAGCACCCACAGAGUCUGGCAAACAGGGAUGCUCCGGGCAAAAGUCUGCCAGGCAAAUCCCUGAGAGAGGGGAGAGCAGCCUGCAGGCCCCUGGCUGUCCCU
rnacentral:lncRNA from 1 species